AUUGAACGCUGGCGGCAGGCCUAACACAUGCAAGUCGAGCGGAUGACGAGAGCUUGCUCCGCUGACGAGUGGCGAACGGGUGAGUAAUAUAUCGGAACGUACCCAAGAGUGGGGGAUAACGUAGCGAAAGUUACGCUAAUACCGCAUACGAUCUAUGGAUGAAAGCAGGGGACCUUCGGGCCUUGUGCUCCUGGAGCGGC
rnacentral:rRNA from 1 species